GACAGGGGUCUCGAGCGUUAAUCGGAAUCACUGGGCUUAAAGGGUGCGUAGGCGGGCCUGUAAGUGUCCUGUGAAAUCCCCCGGCUCAACCGGGGAACCGCGGGGCAUACUGCGGGUCUUGAGGAAGGUAGGCGCCGAGGGAACAGUAGGUGGAGCGGUGAAAUGCGUAGAUAUCUACUGGAACGCCGAUGGUGAAGACGCUCGGCUGGGCCUUUCCUGACGCUGAGGCACGAAAGCGUGGGGAGCAAACAGG
rnacentral:rRNA from 1 species